UCGGUUAGAGUCUGGUGUUAAUGAUGGGUUUCUACGUAAUUGAUCCACUGGUUUUCUCAUUUUGCUUGACUGCAUAUGGUUUUUGGAAUCAAUGAGGAGGGUAGUAACAAGGAAAAUGUCCAUGGGUUGGAGGUUCGAAAAUGAGAAGGGAGUGGUUUGGAUGAGGUCGUGAAUGAAGACAUGGUGGUGUCUGAUGGCUAGGUGAGUUUCUUGUUUACUGAUUAAAUCCUAUUGGUGAUUUGGAUUGAGGAAAACAGUUUGAUGAAGAAAGUGGUGUAAAGGGCAAAGGCAGUUUGAUUAUGAAGUGUGUUUUAUUGUUGUUCCAGUGAGAGUCGGAUUGACUUGGGGAAACAGGACAAUGCUUACUCUCUGUAUAUGCUUUCUAUGUUUGUUUCAAGGUAAAUGUUGAUGGACAUGGUUGGAGGAGAUAGGAUGGACAUAUGGGGGUUUAGUUUCCUGAUCUGACUGGGUUCGUUUUGUUUGAUACAGGUGAAGAAUGCCUUAGGAUGGAAAGCGGCUGUGGAAGAUAUUGCUUCCCAGACUGAAGGAACCCUUGGUUUUCUAGAAAGCAACUUCUGUUUCGGUUUUCUAUUUGCUGUUUUUCAUUUUUUAGAGUAUUUUUCUGGGUGCAAGGAAAGGGAAUAUUGAAGUCUUGAUGUUGGGGGUAUACAUGCCUAUGUUCUAUUGUGAGUGAUGCUGAUUGUAUUUGCAGACAUUGAAAAUGCAGUUUGAUAAAAAGAUGAAACCACAACCAAGACAACCACGACUAUACAUAAUAAUCAAACGUCAUUCGUUUAUCUCCAAGUAUGCAUAAGGAAAGCAUACAUGUAAGCAAGUCCAAGGAGCUUAGGUAUAAGCGUAUGAGGACUUACCUCCGCAGCUUCAAGACUCCUCUGCAGCUUCAAGACUCCUUUGCAACUUCAAAACUUGUAGCCUUAAGACUCCUCCGCAGCUUUCAGACCUUUCCUUUUGAUUCUACUUUCUUUGGUUCUCUUAGACAAAGGGUAAUGAUAGGUGAUGGGGGUGGGUCUCUGAUGUUCUCUGGUAGUGAAGUCGAUAAUGGAGUGUUGGAUAAGAAUAAUGGUACCAAGUAUUCUCCCCCUGCUGGUUAAGGUCUUUUUUUUUUUUUAUUUACUGUGAUGAAGCCCCAUUCAAAAACCAAACCCAAGCCCAUUCCCCUGCACUGCGUCCUGGGAACUCAGGCAUAUCUUUUGACUUAGGGAUUUUUUCUUUGUUUUUUUUCUUCGUUGUGUUUAAAUUUGAUCAGAUGGUAAAAGCCAUUGAGAUAUCUUCUGACUCUUUUGAUGUAUGGCACAACUUUGCAUAGGGAUUUUUAGCAAGAGUCACACAAUUGUUUUCUUAUGGGCAUGGUAUAAGCCAUUUCGAGCUUUCCUCUGUAACGUUGUCUGAUGCAGUGUUGAUCUGUGUUGCAGGAAAGACAAAAAGGCAAGAAAGAGCAGUUGACUUUGUGACUUUUGUUUUUGUUUCUUUCUGUUUUUUUUCGUUUUCCUUUUUUUCUUUUUUUCGUCUUUUUUUUGUUUUCUCUUUUUUUUCUUUUCUUUUCUCAUAAAAAUUUCCUUUUCUCAUAAAAAUUAAAGUAAAGAUAAAAAAAAACAACAAAAAAAAACUAACACAAAAUAAAACAAAUAACUCUAA
rnacentral:lncRNA from 1 species